rnacentral:ncRNA from 1 species
CCUCGAAAAUGGCACACUUAUCGAAAGAUAAGGUCGCAAAGCUAUGAGUCUAAGGUACAAUAAUCAUUGUACUAAGAUCGUCAAGUUACCGAA